rnacentral:lncRNA from 1 species
CAAGUGUUUUACACGUUGUCAUCUGAGGAGUUUUGUACGUCAUCCCCGUUUUAGAAAUAGAAAAAAAUUAUGUGCAUAGACGGAGUCGAACUGUGGUCUCAUGGAUUGUCUGGGGUUACAUCUAGCAUUACGUCUAAUGCCCUAUCACUACAGUCAACCCAAUCAUUGGCUUCAUCAACAAGUUCUCAGCCCACUAUGAUGCCACUUAAAAAGUGGAUGUCUGUCUUGCCAACGCUUCUUGUUAUAUAUCCAACAAGAUACCAGUAGAACCAUCUAUCACAGUCACACACACACAUCCAUCUUUUCUUUAAAUGCAUAUAUACCAAGAAAUAUCUGCGAUCUGGUAGCAUACAGCUUCACCUCCUCGCAUCACCAGAGCAUUAACACUCGAAACUCAUGUUGAAACACCACAACCGAAACUCAGUUGUCUUCCCACGUCUGGUUCAUUCAGGUUUAGGAGAGCAUAGUUCUGUUGAUAGAACACAACACAAUUAGCAUCAUAAAUUUUCUUCAUAUCUUUUUAUUUCAAAACAGAAUGUAAUCUAUAUUAAAUUAUCACCAAGUCAGAAAUUAGAGAAGAGUAAUAGUUAGGCAAACAACCUAAAUACAUGGGGAUUCCUCUAUACACAUCCCCAGAAAGUACCAUAGUGACCAUCUUAUGGUACUAUGGUGUUUAGGUGCAGCUGCAUAUUCAUCUUUCAUAUUUUCACAUACAUAAUCUAAUCAGGCCAUCAGGCACUCAAUUUUGAGUGAACAAAACACUCUCAUUAAGCGAUCAAAAUUUUAUCAUGAUAUAAUAGAAUAAAUAAACCAAAUACAAGCUAUAUAUGAUUACUGAAAAUGGUUGUUUGCUACCAAGAAAAGUAAUGGUGUUGCAGCAAGAUGAUCUGAAUGUAAAUCAGAUGGAGCCGAAUGCUGAACCUACUUCUUGCGGCUAGCUCGUCUAACAAUGGAAUAUGAGUAGCCCAUUUGUAUGCACAACCUUAUUGCAGUAGCUAAAGGGGUCUGUCCCCCACUCGCUCAUGUCAUCAGCUAUCAGCUAUGAAUGAUGAUGAGAUGUACCAUGUAUGAUCUUAGCAUUACUAAAAAAAGGAUACCUGAUCGAUAAGAUGUAUUCUCUUAGAAUUACUCAAAAUCAAAGAGUUAACUUUCAAAUACCCCAACAUCUGAGGUUAGAACUUUAUACCAAGAAAGACUUCUUUGCUCGGAGCAAGCGCCGGAGCUCCCUGAACCUACACAUUGCAACCUUUGUGUUAGUCAAGGUAAAAAAAAUAGCAAGGCAUUGGUAAUCAUGAAUGUACCAUAUAAUCAAGUUAUUUGCUUCGUUGAUGUCUGGGUUGAAGUAUAGCCGAGACUGCUCAGUCGUAUGCAACACAGCAUCUGAAAUUGAGUGUAAGAAAGACUUCAAAGUAUUAGCAGACAACCUAAAACUCAGCAGCAGAAAGCCAAAAUAUAAAUAGUGAAGGGUUUUCUUCCCCGCAAAACAUAUGCCAAAGGAUACUAAGCAUAAUAAUAACCCAUUUAGUUGUCUAGAUGACCAGAUUAAAUCGUAAGCAUUACGUGGUUCUUAUUUCAGUGAAAGGAAUUCGGUUGAAUAAUGAUUGCCAAUGCAUGUUAGCAUGUAUGAUUCAGAAACCACACAGAGCAUAAUUUAGGAGCAGAUACAUCUGUUUUCAGAGCCUGCAGCUCAUAAUGAAAUGCUAGAAAAUUUUAUCGUCCUACUAAAAACAUGAGGAAAUUAUCAAUGUCAAAGUUGUUGCGUCUAAAGUCAAACAUAACUACUAUAUCAGGUUACUAAGAUGGUGUUCUGUAUGAACAUAUAGUUAAUGAAAAAAAUGAGAAAAUACUUGUGUAAAUAGAACAACAAGAAUUGUAAAUGUAUGGACUUGGAUUUCACAACUUAAUGUGAACUGAGACUGCAUUAGAAAGAAGAAAAGCCUGGUACAGUUUGCUUUGCAAUGAAAUUUGAUUGAAUCAUUAAAUUAUCAAGACCAAUUAGAUAACAACAAGGGAAGAACAGGAAGGGAGAAUCAGAACGUUCACCUAUCAAGCGUGAGUAGUAGUAGUUGCCUAGUAGCAGGUCAGAUAGGAUGACAAUAGGCAGAGAGAGUCAGGCUGCCACAGCUUCCUCAAGCUGAAGAAAUAGGGAGUCGGGGCAACAUCACUGACUUGGCUGGGACCUUGGUGUGUCCUUUUCGUGUUCGACAUCGCAUGGUCCUGCAGCUGCAAGAAGCAAAAUUCCUUGCACUACAUUCAGACAUAGCUGAGAUUAGUUUGUAGUCCAGUCUAGAACCUCUCAGAUCACUGUUAAAUGUCUGGAACUGAAGACUAAAAUUUCUCCUCUUAGUAUAUGAUACGAAGUUUCUUUAUACGGGUAAAAUUUCAGUAGAACAAAAAAGGUAUCAACCCUUAAUUUUACUCCAUAUGCCUUACCAUAGAUAUGGUCACUGCACCAGCAUCCCUCUGUUGAAAUCAAUCUGUUGAAACCUCAACCACAGAAGUAGUACGAAGCUAUUCUUCUGACUUCACUCUCAAAAACUGCACGUGCUUGAUCGACUAUUGCACCUAGAGACAAUCCUGCAAUCAAUGCUUAUAAGUUCAACAAUCCUAAAUUCCUAAUAUACUCCCUCCAUCCGAAAAUACUUGUCAUCAAAAUGGAUAAAAAGAGAUGUAUGUACAACUAAAAUACAUCUAGAUACAUCUUCUUUUAUCCAUUUUGAAGACAAGUAUUUCCUGACGGAGGGAGUAUGUUUUAAGGGCCAAUGAAUGAGAAAUGCUAAAUGAUAAACCUGGUGCAUAAAAGCAAAUAAAACUAUGAUCAAAGGACCACAGAGAGAUCUGAUGUUGGUAAAAUGCUGAGUUGAACUGGGACAAAUCCUCGGAUAAAUCAAAAUCAGAUUAUCUAUUGUGGUACACAAAUCAAGCGGGAACACACAAACAAUCAGGAAAUGUAGGACCACUUGAUGACUAUAAACUUGACAAUAAAGAUGUCUCAUUUUCAUGAUAGGCUGCUUUAUUUGUCAGUAUUGACACCAAAGAUUUUUGCCUUGCCAAUCUAUUCAUAUUCAACCUUUUCAUUGUCAUGUACAAAAUCUUUUACAGCAAAGUGUGUACAUAGAAAAUUAUGGUGCUUAAUUCUGCUUGGUUGAUUCUCCUGGUGCAUCCUCCGCUAGAACUACCAUCUGCUUGGUGCAGAGUGAUCCUAUGUUGUUUGAUUACACAAAGUAUUGCCACUAAAAAUGGGUUGUCCAUGUUUCAUGUCCUAAGCAUAAUGUUGUUGCCCCGUUUCAGUAUGAUACUAUUUUUUGAACUUACAAACCUGCAUGCAUGUGCAAAUAAUUUUGUUUUAACAUCUUAACACCUGCAAGUCAUUGUGUUCUGACAAAUGAUGUUUCAGACUAAAUUGAUUAACUAACAGUGUGUCUUGACAAAUGAUGUUUCAGACAUGUCUAGCUAUAAAAGAAUUUUAGAGGGUUGUACAUAGACCAGACAUUGACCGGACAUUCGAACAGUGCAUGAAUAUCUAUAUUAUAUACAGUGACACUAAAGAAUUCAGUAUAAGUCAGAUACAACUAUAUGGAAAGAUUGGGCUAGAAACCUAAUUACAUGGAUCAAUCCGUCAGUUAAAAAAUGUCAUUACUCCGUACGGAAACAAGCAUCCACGAUUGAAAGCUCCCAGAGUCCAAAUCCGAUGGCCAAUACUCCGUACAGAAAAGGAUUUGUGCAGAGGCAUCAGGAUCGCGUCGGAGCAUGAACGGAACGGGGCGGGACACGGCGAUAGCAGUGAUUUUGACCCACCCGGCAGCGGCGGAGGGGAGUUCCUGGACGUGGCGCCUGUGGGGUAGAAGCCGAGCGGCAGGCGGCGACGGCGACCGACGCUCCAGGAGAGGCCGUCUGCAACGGCACGUGUGUGCCCGGAGGAAGCCGCAACUCCUCCUCGCGCGUCCCUGCUGUGGCUCGCGUGCGUGGUGGCGACAGGUUUAGUCGGGGUGGAUCGGAAGGGAAGGGGCGGCGGCGUUUGCUGGGAAGUGGGGCGAAUGCGCGGUGUGUCUUAGCCAUGGCAGCGUGGGAAAUCCGGUCGUCGCCGUCGUUGAUCUAGUCAGGAGGAAGGCCGACAGUCACGAGGGAAGGUCCAACAGAGACAGGGAGAGAGAUUAGCGAGGAGAGGGAGAGAGAAGGGAGGAGGAGGGCGCAGGGUGUGGCUGACCGGCGAGGAUGUCGUCGCAGCUUGCAGGAGAGUGGGCCGCGACCGGAGGCGGGGUCGACUCGGGGUGGAUGAGAUGGCAGCGCACGGAGGGGAAGGGAGGAGCGGUGGCAGUUGCUACGGAUCCG